AACAUCUGGCAGUGUUUCACUAUUGGAUUUCACCUGCUGUUGUCAACAAAUAUGACACAUUUCUACACUUUAGCUAUGGGCAUUUUUGCCUUUUCUAGCAGAUGGGCCCUGACUGUAUCUGAUGUCGGGGACUUUGCACCAUGCCUGCACUUCUUCUACAGAUCGUGGCCACUGAAGGGUCUUGCAGGCACCCCAAUGUGUCAACGCUACAACAAUCUGUAUCAUUUUGCCACACUCUACAGUCGCCAAAGACGCUCUCCUUGGUUUUCCGCCUAUUUGUACACUGUACCAACAGGGAAGAGACCAACACCGUGUUGGAAGUUUGAACCACAGUUAGCCUACCCAGAAGCUAAUGGCAACAUGAUCCCCUUCCCUCCACCCCCUCUGGACCCAAAUGUUGUGGAAAGCCAGGCUGUGGAGCUGGACUACAUUAACUCCACCUAUUCUCGUGGGCACCUGAACCCCAGCCUCCACCACCAACAACAUGAAGACCGCUCCUCCACUUUCACCCUCACUAAUGUGGUUCCUCAGAAGGCAGGCUCUAAUGAAGGACCCUGGGAGAAACUGGAGCAGACUGUGAACAAAACCUUAGAGGCCUACUGUCUUGGGAAGGCUUACAUAGUAACUGGGAUCAUCCCCUACCAAAAAGAUGAGCGGUGGCUCAAAAAUCAUCGCGUGGCUGUGCCUGAGUAUAUCUGGUCAGCCUACUGCUGUCCAAACUUCAACAACAGCCUUCCAAAAGAACUGCAGAAUGCCUUUCCCACAUAUGCUGCCAUUGGCCGCAACGAUCCAAACAGCACUGAAGAGAUUGUGCCUGUUUGUAAGACAGCUAAGAAACAAUUCAUGGGAUAUGAUGUGAGAAAAAUGUCACUUGCAACACUCGAGAUGUAUCUGAAGAACAGGUUCAACACGGUGGUCAGUGUUUUUUAUGAACAAUGCUCUGGAUCACAGUGAUCAUACAUAGGCACAGAAACACACACUGAAUAAUGCUACAAACAAUGACAUUGUCAAACAACUACUAUACCUAUCUUAAUUACAUUAAAUUAUUUUCCUUUUGUUGUUAUUAAUUACCUAUAGUUGUCUUUAAUACACUUGAAGGUUCUUGAAAAAAUUAUAAACAAUAAUUAUAAAAUCCAAAUACAUUUUAUGCUAUGUUACUUUAAUGCUAACCUAAUUAUUUAACAUGUCCUGCAAAUUUUAAAGCCAUUUUUGCACCAAAUUCCUUUCACCACUAGGUGGCGUCCUUAUCCUGUGUAGCUGGUUUCAUCAACUGAACUGCAACAAGGUGUGACUUCAUCGUAUUGACUCAGUCAUGCAAAAUCUGCAGUCAGAGAAACACUGUAAUCCAUUAUCUAUACAUCAAACUGUCUUUUAUGAUUCAUUAAUUUCUGGUGAACUGCACGUGCACUGAUCCUCAUUUUAAAUAGUGUGAAUGAUAAAGAUUUGCUUUAAUAUUUGAAGUGGAGUUCCUAAUUCUGACUUUUCUGUUGGUAUCACACUGAAAAGCAACAUGUCCGGUCAAAAUGCAUGACCCAGUUGGAUUUUGGUGUUAUAAAGAAGUAACUGGCUCUAUGCAUGCUUAACAAUGAAAUAAACCUAAACACAUUCCGUCAGUCAGACCAGACUCUUCUAAAUAUUUGCCACAACUAGUCUUGUGUAAUAACAUAAUAACAGACAUGACAAAAAUUCUUUCUGGUUGUUUAAAGC